GCAGACUAAUGCAAGACAGAUGCAAGGGAAACCAUUAUGUGUAAGGAAGGGAGCGUAGCCCCGUGAUGAAAAAAACUCAAUUGAAAUGGGAAGAUGAAUUGCCAGGUCAGUGCAGGACUGUCUGAGCCCCAACUGGCUCUUUGCCUCAGUACAGCCCUGGACUAAUGCUGUCAACUGCCAAGAAUCCACAAUUUAUAUUAAAGCCAAAGGAAUCCACAAUUUAUAUUAAAGCCAAAGGAACUCACCAUCUCACAGGGUGAUACAGCAUUCAAAUCCCAGCUUCUCUGCAGUGAUAUUUAACAGUAAAUGGUUACAUAUUUGUGAUGGGAAACACACCACAGGAGAUACACAGAAUGUUAUUUGAAACCUGAAGUGGAUGAAAAACAGUUGACUGUAUCAGCUUCAAUUUGUAUAUAUUCUUGAGCUGUCUAGCAUUUUAUGAUCAGUAACGUAUCAACUAUAAUGGAGGCACCCAGAAGAAAUAUAAUGGAGGCCUGGGUUCUAUUCAUUUCAGUUGGAAU